rnacentral:ncRNA from 1 species
AUAAAUAUUUAUGGUUUAUUUAAUUUAUUUAUAAUCUAUUUUACAUAUAAAUUUUUGUAUAUAAAUUUAUUUUAAUAAUAAAUUUUUUUUUUAGUAGUAAUUAAUAUUAAUAAUUUAAGAAAUUAAGAAUUAGUAACAUUAAAAUUAAUAACAAAUUUUGUGCCAGCAGUUGCGGUUAUACAAAAGUUAAAUUAAAUUUUAUUAGUAAAUUAAUUAAUAAAUUAAUAUAAUUUAAAAUUUAGAUUAUUAGGUGAAAUUUUAAUUUAAUAAAAAUUUAUAAUUAUUUUAUGAUUUAAUAAAUUUUUUUAAAAGACUAGGAUUAGAUACCCUAUUAUGAGAUUUUAAAAUUAUAAUACUAAAAUAGUAUAUAUUAUUUAUUGAAACUUAAAUAAUUUGGCGGUAUUUUAGUUCAUUUAGAGGAAUCUGUUUAAUAAUUGAUAAUCCACGAAUAAAUUUACUUAAUUUAGAAUUUUGUAUAUCGUUGUUAAAAAAAUAUUUUUUAAUAAUAAUUAAUAUUUAAAAAUUAAUAUUUAAAAUUAGAUCAGAUCAAGAUGCAGAUUAUAAUUAAGAAUAUAAUGGAUUACAAUAAUUUUAUUUAUAUGAAUAUUAAUUUGAAAUAAUUAAUUGAAAGUGGAUUUAAAUGUAAUUUUAUUUAAUUUAUUAAAAUGAUUAAAAAUUAAAAUAUGUACAUAUUGCCCGUCGCUUUCAUAUAUUUUAAAUUGGAAUAAGUCGUAACAAAGUAGAGAUACUGGAAAGUGUUUCUAGAAAGA